AACAGGCCUUGGCAGCAGGAACACUCAGACUCACAGAUAGCAGCAGAAAAUGAGCUCAUAAGGCAAGCCAGAGCCCCUCCUGCCUUUGUGUGAUGGUCAGCUCCCUGCUCAGAGCAGCACUAUUGCCAUGUCCCCAGCUGGAAGCCUCCAACCCUCCUCAGGCUUGCCACCAGUGAAGAAGACCCAUUGUUCCAGGCAGUACCCACGACCAUUCAACGAGUAGUCCUGGAGCUUGUGCCAUAUUAAUGGUUAAAAGGAAAGAACAUGCCAGAAGAAAGGCAGGCAGGAAGGGUGUCCUUGAAAGCAGGCACACCCAUCUCACUGAUAUCUCAAAUCAACAGUUUUUCAAGAGGUCUCUGUGCAACCAAGGAGUAUGACAUUUACUAAUGUGUUGAGAGUCAGGGAUUCUCUUUUGUAGGAGCCAAUACUAAUAGGAAAGAUAUGGUUCAGUGUCCUGGGUAUUCUUCCAAGUUUUAUUAAUUAGAUGGAAAGCUUUUCCCUCUGGAAUAUUGUAAGGACAGGCACAGAACACCAGUAGGACAAACUUCCUCACAUCCCCCCCUCCCAGUGUGCCUCAUCCUUACCUGGAACCAAUCUUCCCUGAACAGCAGACAUCCUAAUAUUGUGUGUAUCUGUUAUUGCACUUUGGCCUUCUCCUGUUCCUGUCAAAGUCAAUGGAAGUUUUGUGGUUGAUUUCAGGAGGAGUGGAAGCAGGUCCCUAGAGAUUUUUUGUGCCAGAUCCACAGAUC